rnacentral:rRNA from 1 species
GGAGGGGGCAAGCGUUGUUCGGAAUUACUGGGCGUAAAGGGCGCGUAGGCGGUAUGCCAUGUCAGGGGUGAAAGGCCUGGGCUCAACCCAGGAACUGCCUUUGAAACUGGCAAACUAGAGUCCGAUAGAGGAUGGCGGAAUUCCCAGUGUAGAGGUGAAAUUCGUAAGAUAUUGGGAAGAACACCAGUGGCGGAGGCGGCCAUCUGGAUCGGCACUGACGCUGAGGCGCGAAAGCGUGGGGAGCGAAACAGGGAUUAGAUACCCUGGUAGUCCACGCCGUAAACGAUGUGUGCUAGACGUUGGGGGGGUCUUAGGACCCCCUGGGUGUCGUAGCUAACGCGUUAAGCACACCGCCUGGGGGAUACGGCCGCAAGGUUA